UAGCUGUAGCUUAAUGGUAAAGCGAAUGACUGUUAAUCAUUUAACAGAGGUUCGAUUCCUCUCAGUUA